rnacentral:lncRNA from 1 species
AUGCUCCUUCUUAGAGAGUAAGCAUUUACAAUUUGAGAACAUAGCUACAUACUGUAUAUGUCAGUUUAGAGGGCCUAAUAGAAUAUCAUAGUUACUAAAAAAUGCUGCCAUGGUAUGAGCAGGCAUUACUUGAGAUUAUUCCUGAAAAUAAAUGCAAGUCUUAAGUGAAUUUAAAUUGAUUUUGAUUAAAAAAACUGUCAUUUUCAAUUUGCUUAAUAAUCUUACAAGUUAACAUUGGCUGGUAUGUCACUGAAAUUAUAAAAGAAGUUAACAAAGAAUGAAUCCUAAUGUCGCUGUCCUGCUUUUCACUUAGCUGCCAAACACAUAAUCAACAGGAUGCCAUUAAAAUUGCAAGUGUAUUUUAAAGAAUUCCAUGCAGUUUAUGCUAGAAUUCAACACUUUUUAUACUAAUGAAAUUUAAAAUUUCACUUUAUCUUAGACAUGAGAAGUAAGACUGCCAGUAUCUUGAACAUAUAUUCAUGUCUAAGGUUUUAAACUGUUGCCUAAAGGGACCUAAAAUAGCAUUGUUUAAAAAUUUAGCUAAGACCUCAAUGCUAUGGAUUCAACCUAUAGCAUUGCUAUGGCAUGGAUUGAUAGUUUCAUAAUGGUAUAAUUUUUUAUAUAUAUACUUAGGCCAUGGGAUGCACAUAAAACUGAUGCUUAUACAAAUUCAGUGAAAUACGGAAAGCAGAGUAGAUUGCUACACAAUCAUUUAUUAUUUUACAUCUAAAUUGCACAAUAAUGCUUUUCAAUGACAGGGUGUUGGUGGUGUGUGUGUACUGGCUUGUUAGUUUCAUGUCAAUGUGACACAAGCUAGAGGCAUUUGAGAGGAGGGAACCUCAAUUGAGAAAAGGCCUCCAUAAAAUUAGACUACAGAAAGUCUAUAGUACAUUUACUGAAGUAGUGAUUGAUAAAGGCCUAGCUAAGUGUGGGUUGAGUCAAAACUGGCCUGGACCACCUGAGUUCUGUAAUAAAUUAGGCUGAGGAAGCCAUGAGAUACAAGUUAGUAAGCAGAAUCCCUAAGUGGCCUCUGCAUCAGGUCCUGCCUUCUGGUUCCAGCACUGCUUGACUUGCUGUCCUGAUGAACUAUAAUAUGGAAAAGUGGGCCAAAUAAACCCUUUCAUCUCCUAUCUGAAUCUGGUCAGGUAGCUCCAUCACAGCAACAGUAAACCAGACUAAGACAAGGCAUGUAUGAGAAAUACAAAGUCACUCAGUUAUUAGUUAUUAGGUAAAAUAAUAGUUCAGAUUUGUCCAAAACAUAAUGUAACCACUUGUAUUGUUUUUAUUUACAAAUGUUACCUUUUGGUGGAAUUCACUGAUUAUUUUUAAUACCAAUUUCAUUUUUUUCUUAAUUUUUCUUAAUUUUGAUUUUAAUAAUAUGUAUCUUAAUAUGAAGACAUAAAAUUUGGGUAUAUUAAUGAGACAGUAUAUGAUUUUUUAAAAUAAUUUUAUUGUUUCUUUGAAUUGAUGUAUUUUUAAAGCCAAUGUGGUUAUUAUUUUAAUAGCUUCCUAAGUCUAAGCAAUGUUGUGGGAAAUAAGGAAGCACAGGCCUGUGUAGUUUGUAAACUAAGAAGAACAAAAUAUAAAUUAUAAUUGAUGUUUGAUUGAGAAGUAGCAUGCAUGAAUGGACAAUACAUCUUUCAAAAGACAUGGAUUAUUUAAAGAAAAUACAAAUGCUAGUACACACAGCAUAUUCUUUGAUGAAAUAUUGGUAAAAGAGGACUCAGAGGUACUCAAAUCAACAUAGAUUAUUUCCAUUUUUCUUGGUUGCCCAUUGUAACUAGAUGAUAAAACGCCUACUGCUAAAUAUUCUGCCUAUGUAGGUUCCUAAUGUUUUUGUUUUUGUUUUUUUUUUAAUAAUAUAAUGACGAUAUCUUAAUGGGUAGGAGAAGACAAUCAGCGUCUGCUAUAAUUUGUUUUUAAGAGUAAACAAUAUGUUUUUCCUUCAGAAAGCUCUUUUCUUGAUGACUUGCAGGGUAAUGUGAAGCUUCUGUCAAUUCCUAAAAUCAAAAGAGAAAUACU